rnacentral:rRNA from 1 species
CUUGCUAAGGCCGAUGGCGACCGGCGCACGGGUGAGUAACACGUAUCCAACCUGCCGAUAACUCGGGGAUAGCCUUUCGAAAGAAAGAUUAAUAUCCGAUAGUAUAUUAAAACCGCAUGGUUUUACUAUUAAAGAAUUUCGGUUAUCGAUGGGGAUGCGUUCCAUUAGUUUGUUGGCGGAGUAACGGCCCACCAAGACUACGAUGGAUAGGGGUUCUGAGAGGAAGGUCCCCCACAUUGGAACUGAGACACGGUCCAA